AACGCACAUUGCGCCCGCCAGUAUUCUGGCGGGCAUGCCUGUCUGAGCGUCAUUUCAACCCUCCGCGUCGGUUCCCUCCAGGGGGUCCCGGGGCGGGUGUUGGGGAUCGUCACAGCGCCCUAGCGGCGAUCGACGUCCCCUAAAUCCAGUGGCAGCCACGCGGCGGCCUCCCUCGCGCAGUAACCAAUCUCGCGGGCGGACCGUCGGCGUCGGAUCGCCGUAAAACCACCAACUUUCUUAUGGUUGACCUCAGAUCAGGUAGGAAUACCCGCUGAACUUAA
rnacentral:misc_RNA from 1 species